UACGAAGGGGGCUAGCGUUGCUCGGAAUUACUGGGCGUAAAGCGCACGUAGGCGGAUUGUUAAGUCGGGGGUGAAAUCCUGGAGCUCAACUCCAGAACUGCCUUCGAUACUGGCGAUCUAGAGUCCGGGAGAGGUGAGUGGAACUGCGAGUGUAGAGGUGAAAUUCGUAGAUAUUCGCAAGAACACCAGUGGCGAAGGCGGCUCACUGGCCCGGUACUGACGCUGAGGUGCGAAAUCGUGGGGAGCAAACAGG
rnacentral:rRNA from 1 species